ACCAUCUUUGAGAGGACUCGCCACAAUUAGUCUGACAUUUAUUCUGGUUGUAUGUUCCGCGAUAGUCACAACCACCACACGAACCGGAAGCUUUAUAAGCAGGCCAAUAGCGACCAAUGCUUUGCCCAUUUAUCCACACUUGACCUUUUCCCAUGCUGCUCAUAUCCAAAGCCAAGGGAUCAUUUCCAGCCGGUGCAUUGAAGAAAGCCUUGUACCAUGUUAGUGG
rnacentral:misc_RNA from 1 species